rnacentral:rRNA from 1 species
UGAAACAUCUAAGUACCCGGAGGAAAGGACAUCAAUUGAUACUCCCCUAGUAGCGGCGAGCGAACGGGGACCAGCCGAGCUGUGAGUGUGAAUAGAAUGGCAUGGAAUGGCCAACCAGAGUGGGUGACAGUCCCGUAUAUGAAGCACAACAGGACGUAUUAAGUAGGGCGGGACACGUGAAAUCCUGUCUGAAGAUCGGGGGACCACCCUCGAAGGCUAAGUACUCCUUGCUGACCGAUAGUGAACCAGUACCGUGAGGGAAAGGUGAAAAGCACCCCGACGAGGGGAGUGAAACAGUACCUGAAACCGAACGCCUACAAUCAGUCGGAGCUUGACU